rnacentral:rRNA from 1 species
CCCUUAGAUGUUCUGGGCUGCACGCGUGCUACACUGAUAUUGCCAAUAUGUCAUUCUUAUCCGAAAUGGAUUGGGUAAUCAAGUAAUGAAAUUUCAUGCUUGGAAUCGGUAAUUGCAAUUUUAUCGUGAGCGAGGAAUUCCUAGUAAGCACUAGUCAUCAGCUAAUGUUGAUUAUGUCCCUGCCCUUUGUACACACCGCCCGUCGCUACUACUGAUUGGGUGUUCAAGUGAGAUGCUUAGACCCUUGUUGCAUGGUUCAUUAUUGUGCUCCGAAAGGAAAAAGUUUCAAGCUUGAGUGUCUAGAGGAAGUAAAAGUCGUAACA